rnacentral:rRNA from 1 species
GACGAACGCUGGCGGCGUGCUUAACACAUGCAAGUCGAACGGAAAGGCCUGCCACCUUGGUGGUGGGUACUCGAGUGGCGAACGGGUGAGUAACACGUGGGUGAUCUGCCCCGCACUGUGGGAUAAGCCUGGGAAACUGGGUCUAAUACCACAUACGACCACACUGUAGACAGUGUGGUGGAAAGCUUUUGCGGUGUGGGAUGAGCCCGCGGCCUAUCAGCUUGUUGGUGGGGUAAUGGCCUACCAAGGCGGCGACGGGUAGCCGGCCUGAGAGGGUGGACGGCCACAUUGGGACUGAGACACGGCCCAGACUCCUACGGGAGGCAGCAGUGGGGAAUAUUGCACAAUGGGCGCAAGCCUGAUGCAGCGACGCCGCGUGGGGGAUGGAAAGGCCUUUCGGGGUUGUAAAACUCCUUUUCGCCCGGGAACGAAAGCCCCACCUGGUGGGG